rnacentral:hammerhead_ribozyme from 1 species
ACCCAGUUGACGAGUCCCAAAUAGGAAGAAACGCGCGUCUUGGAU